rnacentral:rRNA from 1 species
AUUGAACGCUGGCGGCAGGCCUAACACAUGCAAGUCGAACGGUAACAGGAAGCAGCUUGUUGCUUCGCUGACGAGUGGCGGACGGGUGAGUAAUGUCUGGGAAGCUGCCUGAUGGAGGGGGAUAACUACUGGAAACGGUAGCUAAUACCGCAUAAUGUCGCAAGCCCAUAGAGGGGGACCUUCGGGCCUCUUGCCAUCGGAUGUGCCCAGAUGGGAUUAGCCUGUUGGUGGGGUAACGGCUCACCAAGGCGACGAUCCCUAGCUGGUCUGAGAGGAUGACCAGCCACACUGGAACUGAGACACGGUCCAGACUCCUACGGGAGGCAGCAGUAGGGAAUAUUGCACAAUGGGCGCAAGCCUGAUGCAGCCAUGCCGCGUGUAUGAAGAAGGCCUUCGGGUUGUAAAGUACUUUCAGCGGGGAGGAAGGGAGUAAAGAUAAUACCUUUGCUCAUUGACGUUACCCGCAGAAGAAGCACCGGCUAACUCCGUG